rnacentral:lncRNA from 1 species
CGCCAGGGGAUGCAAACCCUUCUGCCCCUUUUUGCUACCCCUGAAGCUUACUGUUAGUGGUCGAGUUUUUCUGGAAGUGGGCUUCCGCGAUCGCGGGGACCAACGCCCUGAGCUCUUGUGCCCAAAGGGGAUCGCCAGGUUUUUUGAUGCGGAUCGAAAGGGACUGGCCCCGGAGCCUACAACCUGACGCAGGUGGGACUUGGGGAAAUGUCGAGAAACCUAGGUCUGGGACUUGAGUUGGCUUCCAGGGCACACAUUCUUGUUCAGAAGAAACACAUUGCAAAAAUCGGGAGGUGACGGGCAGAUGAAGUGUCGGCGCUUCGCCUCGGGACUCCAGUGCAACCUAUGGGGCUUUUGGAAAUGAGGAAGUCGAUGACUCUGCAGGGACUCCUCUGACCCAGGAGCAGAUGGCGCUCGUCUGGGCACUCCCCAGGAGAAAAGGUGCAUCGGGAAGCAGCCUGGCUUGUGGAUGGUGGACAAGGUGGAGGAGAGAGAAUUCCUUGGCAGUAGCAUUAUGAACAAAUGCAGGGCUGAGAAACAGCAUGGUGGCCUUGACUAAGUUUAUGGCGACAGCAGUUGGGGUAACAUGUGACCUGGAUCUGAUCAUUGUGAUUCAAGUCAGCGUCAUUUAGGGUUUUCGGGAAACAUUUUUUGAAAGGGAGCAACUUGGCUGGAACACUCCAUCAAUU